rnacentral:rRNA from 1 species
AUUAAACGCUGGCGGCAUGCCUUACACAUGCAAGUCGAACGGCAGCACGGGGGCAACCCUGGUGGCGAGUGGCGGACGGGUGAGUAAAGCAUCGGAACGUAUCCUGGAGUGGGGGAUAACGUAGCGAAAGUUACGCUAAUACCGCAUAUUCUGUGAGCAGGAAAGCAGGGGAUCGCAAGACCUUGCGCUCUGGGAGCGGCCGAUGUCGGAUUAGCUAGUUGGUGGGGUAAAAGCCUACCAAGGCGACGAUCCGUAGCGGGUCUGAGAGGAUGAUCCGCCACACUGGGACUGAGACACGGCCCAGACUCCUACGGGAGGCAGCAGUGGGGAAUUUUGGACAAUGGGCGCAAGCCUGAUCCAGCCAUGCCGCGUGAGUGAAGAAGGCCUCGGUUGUAAG